rnacentral:lncRNA from 1 species
CCAUACCUAAAAUUAGUCUUUUUUUUUAUAAUAAUUUUUUAUGAUACGGACUUGCAUCUGUGUUUAGUUGUGCUUAGGAACUUUUAUUUUUACAUUUAGAGGAAAAAUUGGAUGGCUUGUUAGCUUGUUCAAUGUAAAAAUUUAAAGCCUCUUUUUGUAACUAUUUCAUUUUUUGUUUUUGAGCCAUGAUUUGCAUGUUUCUUAAAUACAAUAGUUGAAUUCUUAGCCAAAUUACAAGUCUUUAAAAGUUACUGUUUUUAGUUUUCAAAUUUUGAUUUGUUUUUUAAACCAUUGGUAAAAUGUAGUUAAAGAAUGAAGAAAUUUGGAGGUGGAAGUAAUGUUUACUGGCUUAAACUUAAAAAAAAAAACAAACAAAAUUGGUACUAAAUGUGGUCUUAAUUUUUCAAAACUAAACUGUGGUUGCAUUAUGCAAAUCAAAGCUUGAAUUAGAGAAGGAUCAGUGUUGUUUUAUGGGGUUUGAGAUGCACUUUUUAUGAACGUAUGACAUAGAAAAGAGAACAUAGUUGAAGUGGGAAUAUGAAAAAAAAUCCCAAACACAUGUAGUUUGCAUUUAGGCUUAUUAAUUUUUUUUCCUUUCCAGUUUAUUAGGAAGGAAAAUCCUAGUUAUUAUUAUUAUUAUUAUUGUUUUUCAAAAUAAGGAAAAAGUUUUAGGAACCAAAGUGUAUGGAAUACCGUUGCCCUACAUUGGCUCUCACCUCUAGCUAGCUUUUGGAGUGUAGUUCUCAAAGGUACUUAAGUACCUAACAAAAAGCCCCAGAGCUAUCUAAUGUGUGAGGCGCAGACUUGUGCCUAGGUCUAGGUGUGCCUAAGCAUGCCUGGGCGGGGUUUUCAAAACACUGAAAAGGAUCUUAAUCCCUCUUUCAUGUUGUUAUACCUUUAAGAUCCCCUGACAAGGAUGUUACUCCCUCUUUCACGUUGUUGUUAUACUCUAAGAUGUAUUCUUAAUUCAUUCAGCACCUUCUUGUGAGAGCUGUUGAUAAUUCCUUGUUUCAUUGUUUUUAUUUUCAGCCUCAACUGGAGUAUAGGUAUUUACAUUUUGAGGAAAAAUCAAAGAGGUGCGUUUGCCAUCAUGCAGUGUUAUUUUACAUUGUCAAAAUUUUUUGGUCAUGUUAGAGGAAGUUUAACUUAUACGAUAUUUCUCAUCUUUUAUAAUUUUUUUUUGUUUAAGCAUAAUUAUCUAAUUAGACAUCUUAAAUUCUUUCGAAAUUCUCUUUAAUCUCUGUACAUCAUUAUAAUUCUUCAAUGCAACCCUAGAUUUAAAUAGAGAAUUGAAGGAAGUACAAUCGAUACCGUUAGAAGAAAAUUCGACUCUCAUUUGAGAAAGCUGCCAUAGUUUGAAUUUUGUUUUUGAAUCCGUGCUUAGGAUUCUAUAUAGCUCAGCUUUUAAGUUAACCACUAACCUAUGGAGAAAAGUUCUAUAGGUUUUAAUCCUUCAAAACUAAUAUUGGUGAUAGAAAAAAUUACUUUUAGAAGUGUGAAAUUUAAUAUUGGGUUAAUUUUGAGUUAUUAAAAGCAUAUUUUAGAGUGAGAAAGUGAUUUUGAUGAUUUAAACCUCUUUCAAACAUUUUAAGAUAGCUCCAUUAAAGUUGUUCGACAACAAUCAAAAUCUUCUAUUUCUCUAGUUGAGUACGGGAAUAGUUUAUACUCGAGAGAUUAAAUGAUGCUUCAAAUUAAUAAUCGUUAAAGUGUCUUAAAAUAUGGUUAAAAUAUAGAGGUGUUUUCAAAAAUAACCAAUUUAACUUUCAUGAAGAAAACCACCCAAACAUAAAAAUUAUUACAUGUAAAUAUUGUCAAUUUUUCUAUAACAAAUAUGAAAAAGAAAUAGUGGAAUCAAGAUAGUAGCAUUUACAUUACUAGAAUUUGUUUUUAUAUUUUUUGGUUUCUUUGAUUAAUUUUCCUAAUGAACGUAGGCAAAUUAUAUGAUAAUCUUUGGAGAGAGCUUGAGUUCAUUUUCGUUAGAAUAUUAUGUAAGAGAGUUUCAGUUCAUUUUAAAUUGAAUUUGGUAAAAUAGUAUGCAAGUCAUUAUAAAAAGUCUAAAUUGUUUCGUAUAGAAAUAGAGUUUAAAUUUUAAAUAAUUGUUUCCCAUUGCUUUGCAGUUGUAAGGUGUAAAUUGUUUUCUUUUCAUUAAAUAUUUUCUAAGCUUGUUGGAAAAUUAUUUUGAAUGUUUAGAUCGACGUUAACAAAAAUAUCAAUUUACGGUUUUCAUUUUAUCUUUUUGUUGUUAAAAAUAUAGAUAAAAUACCAAUUUUUUUAAAAAAGCUAAUUAAUGAUACGAAUUUUACACUUUCCAAACAAAUUAUGAAGCUAAAAUGUUUAUUAAGAAUUAAUUAUUUCAGUUUCAUGAAUUCCUUUUGAAAGUAACAAGAAUGUUGAUUCACCUUUUAUAGGUUAUAAAGUUUUGAAAAACACUUCACAAAAACUAAAUUAAAUUGAUUGUUUGAUUUGGUUAUUAAUAUAAUUGAAUUGACAGAAAAAGAAGACCUUAAUGGCAAGAUCACUCUCUUCUAUUGAUUUGUUUGAUUCUCAUGCUCCACUUCACAUAUUCGUUGGUUAUUCAUUUUUUGCAGCUUGGUAUCCAUUGAAUCAGACAAAGCCUACUUUUGUGCUCUCACAUCUGUCUUUGUUUUUACUAUUAUUUGUUAUAGUCUCUCUAUGUAUUGUUAGAAACUUUAAUGAAUAUUGAUUUUCAAUAUUGUAUGUUAUAUAGAUUGAAAAUGUAAAUUAUGAUUUUAGAUUGAAAAGGUAUGCAAUCAUUGCAAAAUAGGAAAAAUAAAAGCUAAGUAAAUUGAGUAAUCUUAGGUUUGUUUAUAAAAAAAUUUCUCAAAAAAUGUGUGUAGGUAUAUAAACAUAAUUUUUAUUCUUAUAAGUAGGUUGAUUUGUACUUUUGACCCAUACCACAUCUUUUCACGACUCAAAUAGGCUAUAGUAUGCUCCAAUCAUUGAGAAGAGAAAUCGGCCUCGAUUCCAUCCUUGGUCAUAGUCGAGGCCAAUUUGGCAAUUUUGGUACAAAGUUUUGUUGCUCUUUUCCUCGAGUCCAAUUAUAUUUAUUAUUUAUCUUCUCUUAUCUUAUAUUGGAUAAAUUGUGUGUGGAUCUUCUUUGAAGAGGUCGAUUCAACCUUCUUGCUACUUGGGCUAGAGUUUCAUCCAUUAGGGCCUAGUGUAUGUUGGACGUAGGCCAACCAAGAUCAGUUUGUUCAUGGGUCUAUUCUUUCACUCUUCUUGCCCUGAUUUCAGAAUCCACCCACCACAGUAUCAAAUCAUAAUCUCUCUUAGUGAGCUUAAGAAUUAAGGACAGACCAAGUCUAGGUACUAGAAGAGUACAUCAAUAAAUUAAGACUACAUGUAGAUUAGCAUAAUUUGAAGAUGCAAACAUGUGAGAAAAAAAAUUAAAAUAACUGAUAGUUAAGUUACCUACUAAUGAGGUGCAUUUUUCUAUUCGAUGACGGAAUCAUACAAAUUUUAAAGUUAAACGUGCUUGACUUAGACCAAUCAUAUGUUGGGUGCCAUCCUGAGAAUUUUCAUGUGUAAAUGAAGAAAAAACAUUCUAAAAGGUUACAAGUUAGAAUGUGGUGACGACUUUCAUUCUCAUAAGUAGUUUGAGAUAAGUAAGGUAACAUGGUAAAGUCACAAGGUAGAUAUGUGAGUUAUUAGGGACCGAAUCAUGAACCAUUAAUUUUAAGCUACUCUCCAGAAUAAAUAAGUUCUCUUUAGCUUCAGUUGACUAUGUGUAUAUUCAUCAUUUACACAACUAUAUUAAAAAUCUCGAUUUCUAAUAUAGUGGUAGUAAAAUUGCUUUUCUUUGAGAUCAGAUUUUCUUUUGUAUGUAUAUUACAGUAUAAGAAUGAAAAGAUCAAUUCACACCAUAUCGAGUGAUAUGUCAAAAUAAAAGGAACGAGAUGAAGAAUUUUCGAGGAAUUCCUUAUAAAUCUAUAUCUUAUAUGCAAGCUAACAUCCCAUAAUCACAUGUUCUAAGUUCAUUUAAGCACUCUUGGCAUAUACAACUCUACCAAUGUCUUAGAACAAUAGAACAGUACAUAAACUUUAAGCAAAUGUCAGUGAUGCAAUUUCUCCAUGAUAACUACUAGACUUGCAAAGAGAAGUGUUAUUGACCACCUUGAUAACCCUCCCCAUUUAAAUAAAGAGUGAGAAUCCAUACAAGAGAUAGAGGCUGAAGGGAACUCUAGGAGAAGUGAGGGCAAAAAUCAAAGAGAAGAAAAAAAAGUAGUGUAAAAGGAGAGACAAACAAUAUUCCUCUACAAAAUUGAAAUUUGUAUGGAAAGAAUCCACAAGAAAGGAAGGAUAGAGGCAAAAAUGAAACAAACUUCAAGGAGGAUUACAAAGCAAAAACAAGAGAAGAAAAGAGAAGAAAAGAAAAAGUGGUUAUCUUUCAUCUGAUAAUCUUUUGAAAAGUGAAUCCUCAAUAUACUUGAGUUGAGACUAAUAGUUAAUAUACUUACAAACAACCAUCCCUAAGCCACAAAGAAAUGAUUUUUCAAAGGGAAUUGCUAUAACCCACAUUUUGUAAGAAGGAGAGAUCUCUCAAGUUUUCAACGUUUCCAAAUUUGUUUAUAUCUAUAGCCUAUUGAGAUUGGAUUUGGGGAAAAUAUAGAAUCUUUCACCUUUGGGACCCUCCAUUCUCUUUGGAUGCCAUUCAACAAAGUUAAUAUAAACCCUACUGAACUUUUUCACCAUAGAACAUAUAUUAAAAUUAAAGGAAAAGGAAUCUUGAAUAAUCACAUUAAAUAAGUCGCACAAUCCCACUCAAAGAUGAUAUUGGAUUUGCAUUAAUAACCUCUCACACCUUUGGACAAAGAAUGCAAAUCUUUCAUGAGGAAAGUUGCUUUUGCGAGAAAAGUUUCAAAGCCUAUUGGGUAAUAUUUAGAAAGUUUUAGAUUCUACUUCAUUUCAUUAUUUGUUAUAGAAGGCUAGAAAAGCCUUCCAUAAUUGUGUGAGGCUAAUUAAUUAUCUUUAAACUUUGAGAUUAAAUCUCUAAACUUUUUAUAAGUGAAUCAAUUCAAACUUGUAGUUAAAAUUUCUUUUGAGAAUUGUCUAAACAUCAAUUUUAUUGUCCAUUUUCUAAGACCAUCAAUUGAAAAAGUUCAGACGUGUGUGAGAAUUGAUACAUGAAUGUAUUUCAAAGGUUAUUACAAGGAAGAGUCUAAAUUUAAUUGCUUAUGGACAGAAAUGUUGGAGUUUAACUUUUACCAAUUAUAAGUGUUACCCAAUGUUUUUUUCUUUAACGAAAUCUAAAAGAUAAUAUAAAUUGAUAGUAAGUUAAGAGGUUUAAAUUGCUAUAAAUAUUAUUAGUUCAAUUUUUUUUUGUUGUUGUUGAUAAACCCUCAAACAUUAGGGUUAUAAAUUGAAUGGAAUAAGCAUAUAUGGUUUUGUAGUAUAUUAUGAGGAAAUUUGUAGUGCAUAUAUACUAUGAGGAAAUUUCUAGUAUAUUGGGUUUUGUAAAAAUUUCUAUGGUUUUAGAACUUUUUUCAUAUUGGGUUUCAAAAUGUAUAACUAGUUAGGGUUGUUCUAAAAAGGAAGUCUCAACUAAUUGAAAAAUAUGGCACCAACGUUGAACACAAAUUGUGUUGUUUUACAAUAAUUAGUAUCACAAAAAUACUUUCCAUUCCCAUUAAUUUUAAGCCAUGAAAUGAUCACAAAAUGGUGAAACAAUUGAAAUUAAGAAUAUAAUAUACUGAAUCAAUGGAUACAUUGAAUUUUAUUAAGAAAAAAGAUGAAUGUUUUGAAAUAUAUAACCAAUAUUCAUGUGAUUAACUCAUAAAACUUGACCUAAAAUCAGCAAUUUGUUGUACAAAAUAGACUAAUUAUUGGAUAUCAUUAUAUUCUAAUUACUAACCACCACCAUAGAAAUUCUUAUAUUUAAAUUUUCAUAUUAUUGGUCAUUAAUCUUUUCACGUUAUAGUUUUAUAUAAUUAGGUAAAUGUAAAACUUAAUACAUAUAAAUUAAAGAGGUAAAUUUAGUUGAAACUUCCCAAAGAUUAAGAAUUAAGUUUAAAUUUAAAACUAUUAUUUCUCCCACUUGAUAAAUGUGUGUCCAGAAGAUUAAGAGAAAUUGAAAAGUAAUAGAAAAAGUAAACUAUACAAAAACAAAUAUAACAAAGUUUAUAUUGUUGGUAUACUUGCAUGUUCUAGCUAUUAUACCACCAAUAAUACAGUUUAUUAUUGAUUGUCCAUCAGAAUUUAUCUAUCAACGAUAAAAGUCUAUUGAUUUUAUAUUGUUAUAUACUUCAUUAUUACCGUCCAAAAUAAUUACUUUUAAUUUCUUGUGGAAACUAUUUUUUUCAAGUAAAAAAUGAAAAGUAUAAUUCAAAUAAGGGUGGGGUGGUUGUUUUAGAAUUUUAUUUCAAAAAAAUAAAAAAAGUGAAAGAAGUGGAAAGUAGAAUAAUAUCCUAUGAAUUUUGUAUGCACGUGAUUGGUGUGUGUAGCUUUAAUAUUAAUUUUGUAGAUGUGGCAAAUGGAAACAUCUCUUUUUCUCAAUUUGAAAAGUAAAAAGGAGUUCAUAUUAAUUUAUCUUAGUUAGUGUAAUUUCAUGUGUUUAAAUUGCUCUACCUUGAUUAAGGGCUCAAAUUCUUUUUUCUUUUUUUGGGAAAAGAUGGGUUGCAUAAUUUUUAAUUACCAUAAAUUUUUACUCUCAACUUAUUUAGGUUUUGCAACUCUCACUUUUUGGUAAGUAUUUGUGGUAGCUAUUGUUCAAAAUGUUUCUUUUUAUGCCUCUAAUGAAUUAUAAAACAUGCUUAAUUGUUAAAUUUAUAUAUUUUUUUAUAUCUAUAAUAUAUUAAAAGGAUGUUUUUAAGUGUAGUAAAAUAAAAUAAAAUAGUCAUAAAAUAGCAAAAUUUCAUAUAUUUAUUCGUCUAUGAAUAUUUGUCGAUAUUAUUAUAUAUAUUUUUGUUAUUAUUUUACUAAUACAUUUGGUUUUAGUUAAUAGUUUUCCACCAAGAUUUUAAUUAGUAGUUAAUUUAUAAUUAAAUUAACAUUUAGAUAGUAAUUAAUUAAAUGCAAUUAAUUUCAAGGUUAGAUUUAACAGCUUUCGCCAAAUUCCUAAUAUAAUAAUUGAUGGUUAAUUUAGAAUUAAAUUAAAAUUGAGAUUGCAAUUAAGUAAUUGUAACUUUCAAGGUUAGAUUCAUCCUUUUUUGCCAUUAGCAUUUAGCAAAAUUGUUUUCUUAAUACUAUAUUUUAAUGUAACAAUUAGUUGAUAAUUUAUAAAAAGGCAAUUUUUUUAAAAAAUAAAAAUUAUCUAAAUAAAUCACCAAAUUGUCUGCUCAAUGUUUUCUUAGAAGUCAAACCCACAAUAAACCCAUUAAAAAAUUUGACAUUAUUGUUAUUAUUAUUAAUUACCACUACUUUUGCUAAAGGAAAUAAAAUUGGUUUUGGUUUCUGUUGACAUGUUUCUUAAUAUCUAAUAGUUAAAUCUCAAGUUUUUCAUGCAGCAGGUGAUUAAUAAAUAAAUAAUUUAAGUACAUCUAUUCUCUUCAAUUAAAAGUUUAAAAAUUUGGUAAAUAUUAGUUUGAUUGAGUUAAGUUCACUUUAGCAUCUUUAAUUAAGAUUUAGUUUUUUUUUUUUUUUUUGAUAAAAUUCUACAAAAAGACUAAAUUCUAACCUUUUAAACUAUUAGAUUAAAUUUUAAUUUUUUUUUACAAAUUAUAAGGUUAAAUUGUAAUUAUAAUCUAUAAAAAAAUAACACGUGUGAAUAGGAAAGGAAUUACAAGCAAUCUUCUCAAUACUAAAAGAACAAAAUACCAAAAGUUAAAAAAGUUAAAGGUUGAAGUCAAAACAAUAAGACCCAAGAAAAAAGAGUUGAGAGAAAAACCAAAAUUUCAACAAAAGCAACUCUCAAGUUGAUGAAUUAUUGAGGUAAAAUUGAUAUUUUUGUUUCUAAAAUAAUAUAAUUUACCCUUUUGAAAUAUUGUGAUGAGUCAAUUUUGUUCACCCCCACACACUUACCCAUAUGAAAAAGCAAAAGGCAAAAUUGGAAUUGAAUACUCCCAACUUCCAAACAAGAUGAUGAUGCUGAUGAAUGUUGAUGAUGAUAUUCUUUAAUCCUUUUCCCCAUCAAUUACUUUCUACAAUUUUGCAUUUAGGUCGUCCUUUUUUUUUUUCUUAUAUUCAUUUAAGUUAUUGAAGAUUAGGUCAUCAAAUGUUUGUUGUAUUGCCCAAAUGAAGUUAAUAUGGCUUUGCUUAUAGACUUCAUUCUUUACCCAAAUUGCAUCAUAUCUCAUACUAAAUAAAAUAAAAGAAUAUUGCAUCAUCUCUCAGAUGGUUGUUUUUGCUUCUUCCUUUCUUUGAUCGGUUGUUUUCUUCCAUUAGGGCUUCUUACAACUUUGUUCAAUGAGUCUACAUAUUCAAAUAUGAGUUGUUAAUAGAAAAGGUUGUUGACCUAUUGCAUAAUUUAUCUUGUGUUCUUUCUCUUGAAUUUUAUUUUAAAUAAAAUCAGGAAAACAAUAAUGAAUAAUAAAGGGAGAGAGCAAUAAAAUUUCUAUUCAUGUUUUGAAUCUAGUAUGGUCAUUAAAGAUUUAUGUUGGAAUUAGUUUAUUGAUUCAUUCAUAUGUGGGCAACAAAUUAAUAGCAGUUACUUUUAUAAUUGUACUUAACAUGUUGUUUACAAUAAAAGUGGACAAUGUAACACCUUUUUUUUUUAAAAAAAAAAUUUCUUUACCAUUUCAUAUGCAAAUUGAAUGUCAACAAACCUUUAUAUUUACUAGUAAUUUUAAUGUGAAUGAGAUGUAUGGUGUGACACAAUUUUAAUUAUAAUAUUUUAUUUGGUAAAAUAUCUAUGUUUUGUUUUAGAACUUAUUUAUGCAUGAAAUCUAGACAAUUUGUAAAAGGCUAUAUAGGUUUCUAAAAAUUAGCCUGAAAAAGAAAAGUAAUAUAUAGGAUAUGUUUGAAAGUUUAAAAUUGUAAUGGACAAAUAGGUAAAAAGAAUGAAUAAAUAAAUAAACCUAAAGUAUCCACGUUUUAAUAUUAUAAUGAUAAAGAUAAAUUAUGAAAUCAUGAAAAGAUAUAUAUAGAUGAUGUAUGAAGCUUUGUAGUGAUGUUUGAUUCUUAUCAAAAAGGGUAGAAUGAUAUGUUUAACAAACUUGGAGUAAUGUUAAAUUGUUUAGAAUUGAUGGGUUUUUCAUUAUAAAAAAACUAAUACAUAAUUGGAGUAGAAUAUUACAUUUUUUAUUUAACUACUUGUGUUCGGUGUCUUUUCAGUAUCUCGUUAGAGAAUAUCAUUAAGUAUUAAUCUUUUAAAAUGUAUUGAUGUCAAGAUUAUUUAGAGUUAGAAAAUUAUAUUCAACAUUCAAGUAACAAUACCGAUAAAUUUAGAAUUUUAAAAAAUAUAGAAUCUAUAAGAAAAAUAAAGAGCACUUAAAUGUCAAACGCAAAGAUUGAGAACGAUAGAAUUGAGAAGUCAGAAAUUUUAGUUACCUAAUAACAUGAGGCUAUUAUGAUGUAUUUAUUUAGGAGAGUUGACCUAAGUUUCAUUCCAAUUCUAUAUAAUCUUUCGAUAUAGUUGCAAAUAUAAUGAUUAACCUCAAAGUAUUAGCAUAUAAAGCACACCGCUAAAUAGUUUAUAGAUAUAGCAAAAUUUAGAUCUAGCUCUUAGAGUCCAUCAACAUCAAUGAUAGAUUAUAUUACAUACAUGAAUCUAUCAUGGAUAGAAAAUAUUCUUAUACAUUUACUUAUUAAUUCUAAAAAUGCUACACAACAUCACAAGUUUUUCAUCUAACUCAUUUGACGGGAGAAUGAUUUGAACCCUAGUAUUUGACCUACUCCUGCUAGGUAGGGGUAACAAAAUGUAUUACUCUCUCAUAUGCAAUGAUAUGUUUUAAAGUAAUAUGAGAAACUGUCUAAAUAAUAGAGAGAGAAAAAUGAUUAUGUGGUGGAAUAUUAUAAAUGACAAGUAGGAUAUAUUUGUAAUAAUAUACUCAAAUAAAAAAAUAAUCAAAUUUUGUAUCAAAAUGGUAGUUGGUGACUUUUACACAUCCAUUGAAGCCAAGCUGUGAGUGGUGAAGUGGAAAAUCUUAUCACAUGCCUCUUUUAAUCAUUAUUAUGAUCCUCUCUACAUUUUAGUCAACAUUUCCCCAAUCUCUAUUUUCAUAUUAUUUCUACACAUGUCUCUUCAUCCACAUUAUACAUUUCUUUCUCUUUAAACUUAAAUUUAUUUUUUUAAAAAUAUGUUUUAUCCUUAAAAUAGCAAUUAAAAUAGUAUGAUUUAAUAAUAGUAUUUUCUUUUUUAAGUGAUUGUUAAAAUCAUUCAUACGAUCUUGAUUUAUUGAUUUACUGUGAAGAAAGUUGUAAGUGACGUCUUUGGGUAUUGUUUCUAUAACAAAUUUAAUGUUUACUAGUGUUUCACUUCUAACAUUCUUAAAAAAAAAAAAAGUUAACUUUGAUAGAUUUAUUAAAAUUUGAUAAACAAAAAUUAGAUAUUUGAAAAUACAAAAACUUAAGUUUGAACGACCCAUCUUAGAAGGAAGAAACAAUAUUAGAUGAAAAUGAAUUGUUGAAAAGGAUCCCACUUAUUAUUUCAAAGCAUUUAAUUAAUUAGUUGUUAUUAUUUUUUUUAAAAAAGUGUGUUGUUAAUAAUUGAAGGUGGCCAACUCAAGUGAGUGUGUGGUUUUGAUGGAAUUCAAUGCAAAAUGAAGAACAAACUUCUUCACAUGCUUUUGUGUGAAUAUUCCCAUGGCGGUGUUAUUACAAAAUUCAAAUUUAUUUUUAAAACAAAUAUAUAUCAUCAUUUUAUUUCUAUUUCUUUUUUUAAAAGAAUACACAAAUACUACAAGUUUUUGUUUAUUGAUUUCCCACCUCCUAAAAUUAAAUAACAUAUACAUAUUAUACUCUUUGACUAAUGAGUGAUUUCCAUUCCUUUCUUUUUUAAAAAACUAAAUUUCACAUGAAGUUUGUUGUGGCUGAGUGUGUUUUUGAAAAAUAAAAUUGUCAAUAUUUUGAAUUCUUAUUUAAUUUUAAAGCUUUUUUCCUUUUUUUUUAUCAUAGUAAUUUUCAUUUUCUUUAUAUUUAUAUUGGACAUAUAAAUAUAAUAUGUUCCCAAAGUUUAUAUUUGAAAGAUAAAAGUAAUAGUUAUUUGAACAAAGACGUUUCAUUCGGUCUUGUUUCCAUGCUUGUUUAUUCUAAAAAAACCUAAAGGUAUUUCAACUUCAUUUAUGGAUAGUGAUUUUCACCAUAUAGACCUAAAGGUAUUUCAACUUCAUUUAUGGAUAGUGAUUUUCACCAUAUACACAAUGGUGGCUUAAAUAUUUUGAAGUCAUUGAUUUUAAAGUUUUAUAUAAUUUUUCUUUUCAAAACAACUCUAGUGAGUAUUGUUUUCAUUUGUCACUCUCAUAAUAAUUUUCUAGAAACCGACCAACAAACAAAAGUUCGAGAAUUAGAAAAUAGUCUUUCAACUCAACGACAUAAUUGUUAGAAUCAAACUAAUUUAAAAGAAACAAAAGAAUGUGAGAUGAUAUGGACAUGAUUUGACACAAAAUUCUUUAGGCCAAACCUCAUGAUAUACCAAUAAACCCUAAUAAUUAAUGGCCAAAUUGGAGAAGGAAGAAAAUUGAAAAGAGGUUAAUUAGGGGAAAGCAUAAAGUGCAAAAUACAAAAGAAAUGGUGUGACACUACAUUACAACAAAAAAAAAAGAAAAAAAAAAUCCUCCAUUGAUGAUGGCCAUUGAAAAGCUUGGUUGCAUGGUUCACUUUGAGUGGCCACUUAAUAGGGCUUUUGUGAAAAAGACAUUCAAAAACUAAAAAGAACCCAAAGGGCAACCUUUGUUAGUGGGAGUUAUGUACCUUCCAUAUUAUUCCCCUAUUCUUCAAUAACUCAAUAUAUCUAGCUAAUUCAAAGUAUUCAACAAAUGAUAUACAAUAAUAUUUCAUUUCCUCACCAAAUAAUAGACAACUUCGAUGUAUCGAUAUAUGUACCUGAUGAUCUUAAGGUCAAUACUAUCAAUUUUCUUUGGAGUCUUUUCUAGAUAAAGUAGAAUUGGUAAAGAUCAUACAUAUAAUAAGAUUUUGUGACCAUAAUACAAAUGCAACCCAUAAGUAACUAUUUGUUUGGAUUAACUAUCAAAUAAUGUUUAUAUAAAUAUUAUUUUAUGCACUUAUGAACACUUAUUUAAAUCAAAAGAUUAUUAUGUCUCGUUAUAAUAGAGUCUUGUGUUGUUUUUGUAUUAAUUCAAGACAAACACUUGAUGACACAUAGAUGUUUCUCGGGAUUCCUUAUUUAAGAACGACUUUGCUUUUAUUUAUUAUUAAUUGAAACAAAAUCAAUGUACAUGUACAUUUUGUAUGUGAGAGAAGGAUAGAGAUAGAGAUGGGGGAUUUGGUUUGAGUGUCACAUUAUCUCCAAACAAUACAACCCAUAACAAUACAAGAAUCUCCAUUAUGAAGAAAAAGUGUUCUAAGCCAUAACAAAAGAGAGGAAGAUGGUGGACAAAUUGUGGUGGAGAAGCUGGGUUUCUUUAGUGGGAAUAAUUUCUACUUUUUUUUGUUGGAAAGAAAUCUCCUAUUAUCAACCAUUUCUCUUCCCCUCUAUUUUUUUAAAAAAAUGAUUUUAAUUACUCAUAAUAUAAUGAGAGUUUUUUUAUAAAAAAAAUUAGUUUUAGAGUGAAGAAAGGAUUAAAAAGGGGCAAAGGAACAUAUCAUGAAUGGAUGGUUCCAAGUGCAAAAGGUAUACUCUAUAAAUUUAAAGUUAUUAUGAUAUAUAUAUAUAGUGGAUGCUCCCAUGGUCCAAUAGCCUAAAGAUUGUAGGACAAUAAUGUACAAUGUGCUUAGAUUUUUCAUUCUCUUUUACAGAGAGUUAGGACCAUUUUAUCAUUAGCUAGGCCAACCCCAUUUGGAAAAAGAUGGCCAUCUCCGAAGAAAUUCACCCAAUAAAAUCCUUUCAAUUUCUACUUUCUGAUAUUUUCCCUCACAAGUUUGUGAAAGUCUUGAUUUUUUUAUACAAUUUACUUUUAUCCAUCAACUUAAGGUUAAGGUUUUGAGUAUAGUGAUGAUUUAAAAUUACACGAGAACAAAAAAAUUUUGUUUUCAAAGAACUCUUAUAAUGUCAUUUCCUUUCCAAACUUUUAGUGUAAGAGAUCAAGUAUUAGAAUAUUGAUAUAAUAUUGAAUUUACUUUUAACUCAUUAGGGGUUUUAGUAUAAAGCUCUUGUUUGGUUUGUAGAUAGGUUUGUAGAUAGAUUUGAGUUCUGUAAAAGUAAUAUAGCAUAUAGCUGGAGGUAUCAUGUAUAAAAGGCAAUAUGUAUAUUUGCUUAUGUAUCUCGUAGACUUAGCACAUUGUGUAGUGUGAGAUUAAUAAAAUCCACAUACAAACAAAAUUUGAAUUAAACACUUUCUUCUUGUUGUCUACCUUAGAAGGAAUUGAACAUGAACUUUAGUGAAAUUGUAUGAAAGGUUUAAAGUAGAAUGAGUUUGGAAGUUCUUGUAGUGGUCAAUUUAGGUUGAAAGAGAAGGAAAGCCUCAUUUUACAUCAUAUCAUAAUAUCAAUAUCUUCUUUUCAUUUUCAUUAUUUCUGAAUUAAAAAGAAAAAACAAUAGAUUUUGUCUCUAGUAUAUAUAAAAACCUAAUUUUGGAGGAAAAUUAUAAACAAGUAUGAAUUAAAGAAAGAGAGAAAAAGAAGUGGAAGAUAUUGAUUAGAAUGGUUGCCAUUGAAAUCAAACGAAGAAUUUUAUCGGAUGGUCACAAAUGGUGUUAUUGACUAGGAUUCUGACCCAUUUCAACCACACAUCUCUCUACAAUAUGCAAUAUGCAAUAUGCUUGUCUUCACUUUCACUCUCUCUUAAAAAUGUUCUCUUUCUCUUUUCUAAUUUUUUUAGUAAAGUAGAAAGAGAUUGAGAUAGAUAGAAUAAGCAAGGGUGUAUAAUGGUAAUUUCCUUUAGAUUAAUAGGGACAAUAUUAUAAUUUCACUUAACUAUAUUAUGGGAGCUAGCCCUUAUUUUAUAUAUAAUGUGUGAUAUAACAUGCAUGUAAGAACCUUUGAAAUUAAAGAUUAUUAAAUAUAACUCUAAAAGACAAUGUCCAAAUUAUUAAAGAGAAGUUCCUAUUCAAUUUAUUAUGUGUGUACAUAUAUAUAUAUAUAUAUAUAUACAUGCCCAUCAAAAUGGAUCAUUAUCACAUGCCCCUACCUCCAAAAAUAACCCCAAAAAAAUCUUCUAACAUUAACCAACUCUUUUUCCCCUUUUUCUCUUUGGUGAUAUAAAGGACGUACCUCAUUUACAAAAAGAAAUAUGGAGGUCCGUUUAGAAUGGACAUUCCAUCUAUGAAAGAUAUCUUUCAUAAUCAAGAACAUGAUAUCAAGAUUGGUUUACCCAAAAAAAAUGGAAGAAAAGAAAAAGGAAAUAAAGAAUAUAGUAAAGUGAUUAAGUAGAACAUAUUGAUCUGUAUUUUAAUAUUUUAUACAAGCAAAUGACAAUUUCACUCUUAUUUCUAACUUGAUUAUUGUCAGCUUAAUCAUAAUCCCAUACAAAAGAAGGAAUAUAAAGGGAAAGAAAAAGGGGGAAAGUUAGGUAUGACAAUAGUAUUAGUAAUAAUAAUAAACUAAGAUUUCCUUAUGAACCCUAAAACCAUUUAAAAUGGAGAGGCAAAUAAAUAAAAACAAUUGCUUUCUCUUUUUUAAGUGUACACAUAAGCACUAUUCCUUUUUUUUUUUCUUCCUACAUUUGCUGUCCUAAUAAUUCUAACCUCAGCUUAAGUUUGUCAGCUUCACAUAGCAUUUAGACUUUUUAUUUUUAUAAGAAAGAAAGAAAGAUUCUGAUUGAAAAACAAAAAGAGAUAAUUAUUAAUAAAUGAAAGGACAAAAAAGCCCACAAUUAAAGGGUUCAUUUUGCAAAAUUUGGCUUUAGUUUUAGGCGUAGUGUUGAAGGGUCAAAUUGCAAAAUGAGGAAAACGACCCCAUCAACACCAUUUUCAAUCUCACCAUUACACUCCUCUUCUUCCUUCCUUACCCUUCACAGUUCACACCAUUGACAAUUUGGUUGGUUCUUAUUCAUUAUCUUUCUCCACUCCUUUCAAUAUCAUACUUAUUUAUUAAACUUUACUCUAAUUUGCUUACAAUUUUCAUUUUUAGCUUCUCUUUUUAAUCAUGUGUUUAUUGAAUUAUAAUUGGAUGUUGUAGUUGAAGGAUUAUGUGUGUUUAUCCUAAAAAAAAAUCUAAAUAUAUUCAAUUUAUAUACAAUUUUAAACUACAUCAAAAAAUUGAAUAGAUUAUCUUGAAUUUCUUAUGACUUCCUUAUCAUGAUUUUCUUCUUUUUCUAACUAAGCACUUCAAUUCUCAAUCAAUUUUUUUAAAAAAAAAACCAAAUAAAAAUUAUUAGUCCAAAAUGUAAAUAAAAGCAAAGCAUUACCAAAAAUGGUUAUAUAGUGCAUAUUCGUUGGCUUUUGUUUUUUGUUUUAAAGAAAAAAUGGUUAGGUUUUGGUUAUGCUUAAAUAGGAAUAUAUUUAUUACUAUUACUAUAUAGUUAUUAUGAAAAUAAAGCAAAUGAAUUGAUUGUCAAAUUUUGAUUGCUUUAGUAUAUCUAUCAAUUAGGUAUUAAUUCAGAAUAAUAAAUAAAUAAAUAAAAGAAGAAGCAUCAAUUAGGUAUUGUUGAUACUUACUAUAAAUAUACACUAAGCACAUUGAUUAUGUAACAGAAUAUAUAUAUGGCCACUAAAGUCAAUUUUGUUUCUUAAAUCUUUAUUUUAAUAUAUGUUUUUUUUUUAAUUAAUCUUUUUCUACCAUUUUAUUUUUAGCAAUUUAAAAUAAUGUUCUUUUAUGAUAUAUUAUCUUUUUUGCCUUCUUUUUGUAUACACAAAGGGGAAUUAAUAAUCACAUAUAUUGCACAAUUUUAUUAUUAUACCACAUUUUCUAUGCUAUACAAUAUCCUACAUACCGUAAAGCAUAACUUACAUUAAAUUAUAAUUUAGUGUAUUAAAAAUAGCAGGAUUAAAUUGAUAAGAUUUUUUUUUUUUGGAUAGGAUUUAAAUUUUGAAAACUUUUAUUUUCGUAGUCCUAUAAAGUUUAGUUGUCAUAAAAGCAUUCACUCUUGAUUAAGAGGUGAAAAGUUGAGAUUUUAUAUGAGUUAAUUAAAAUAUAAAAAAAAUAUUGCUUAUGUAAUGUAACGUUUUAUUAUAUUAUUAUUUAUAAAAAACUUGCGUGGCAUAUUUUUUGUUUGUUUAGGAAACUUAGUUGGCACAUUUAUUAAUAAAUUAAAUUAUUGGUUGCAUAGUUGGAAGUUAACUAUAAUAAUUAAACUAUGUAAGAAAAAACACAAAAGUAUUAAAAUUUUAAUUUUAAAGUGGAAAUAUUUUAAUAAAAAUGAAAAUUACAAGUUGAUGGUGAGAGUGAUAAAAUAAUGAUGAAGAAGAAGAAAAAUGAAAAGAGAAAGGGAGAGAGCAGACUUUUUAGAAAUGAUUUUAAAUAAAUAAAUAAAUAAAAGAUAGUAAUAUUCACAAAAAUGAUAUAAAUAAUAAUGGGGAAUUUUUAUAAAAAGAAUUUAUGAUAAAGAAAAAAGUAUUAAUAGAUUAAUAAAUUUAAAAAAAAAAAAAAAAAAAAGGGCCAAACCGUGAAGGUGAACAGAGGGUGUGGUAAGAGAGAAGAGGUUAGGAGACAUGGGGAUGUGUUUUAAAAAGAAACGCGUGUCCGGUACGGAGAAUAGGGUCCCUUUGCCGGCUAAUGAGGGAUGCGUUGCGUGGCUCUGUCACUGACAAUCCACUUUGGCACUCUCAUCUAUGCCUCUCUAUUUUGCAUUUCUUUUCUACUUUUCUUUUUUUAAUUCCUAAUAAUACUUUUUGUUUCUUUUUUUUCAUUAAAUAAACACCUUUAAUUCAAUUCCAUCAAAUCUUAUAUAAAUAUUUUUAGUACUUCAUAAUACAUAUUCACUUCACUCCAUCAUUUUACACCAUUUUAUAUAUUUUAUUCUUUUUAUUCUCUUUUUAUUAAACUAAAUCUUUUUCUAUAUUAAUGUAUGGUUAAUAAAUUUAAGUCAAUUUAAACAUAAUUUACCCGGUUAAAAUAUACUUUUUACUUUUUAAAUAUAUAUAUAUAUAUAUGUAAAAUACUAAAAUUCUUAAUUAUAAAUUAUAUUUGAAUAAAUUUAUUGAGACUAUAAUUUUAUUAUAAGUGCAUACAUAUUUAUAAAAGUGUAUAAAAGUUUAUGAAAUGGCAUUUUGAAAUUUUAAAUAUCUUAAAAUUUUAUUUAUUAUUUAUUUUUUUUGAAAAAAAAAACAUAUCUCUAUGUAUAUCUAAUAUUUUUUACUUUAGGAGUGUUAAUUGUAUUAGCUAUCAAAUACUUUUAAGAGUAUACAAAUAUGUUCUAUUAUUAAAUCAAACUUCAAAAGUUUAAGGAAAAUUUUGUGAUUUAAAUUAGUAUAAGUUAAAAUUGGAUUAUAUUAGUUUGUUUAUUUUGAUAUCAUUGUAAGUUAGAAUAAUCUUAAUAAGCCAACUUUUUUCUUUUAAAGAUCUUAGCUAGCAAAACCACUUAAAUUUGAAUUUUGUGUUCAAUAAGUUUUCUAAUUAUUUAUAUAUAUAUAUAUAUAUAUAUAUAUAUUUGUUUAUUUAUUAAUACACCUAAUGUUAUCUAAAAUUAAUUAGUCACACAAUCUUUAAAGAAUAUAUGAUCAUGAUCAUACUAAGUAAGUCUAAACAUGAUUGAUUACCCCAUGCUAAUAUUAGAUACCUAUUUUUUAGACAAAUUUUAACCUGAAAGUCUAAUUGAUGUAUUAACUUUUUAUUUUUAUAAUAAAUAAUUGAAGAUCUAUAAACACAAAUAUAUUUUUUUUAGAAAAAUUGAAGAUCUAAUCUUUAUAAGAAGUUGAAAAUAUCUUACUAGAUAUACUUAAAUCAACUUUAUAUUUAUUUAUAUUUUAGUUUGUAUUAUAUAAAAUCUUAAAGUCUGCUACAUUGACUAAUCUUGAAAAUAAAAUCGAGUAAAAACCCUUAAGAUUUAUUAUUAAAUUAAUACUUUAAUUCUGGAUUUGAUUGUAUUUUAAAGAAAAUUAAGAAAAGCAAUUAUUUUUAAACUUCUAAUUUUUAUUGCCACUAAUAAGAUUAAUUAAAUUUUGCCUACACAUACUAAUUGAAUCAACAAGAUUAUGAUUUGACUAAAUGUAGUAACAAAAGGGAUGAAAAAAAUACAAUGUCUCAAAUGAUUUGAUUUAAAAUGUGAUUGACUAAUUGCUUUAAUUUAUAUAUUUUGAAUAAGUUUACCUUAUUUUGUUCGAUUAGAUUACUCUUUUAAUUUAUAUAUUUUCGAUAUCAAAUCAUUUAGAUAGUAUAUAUACUUAUGAGAAUUAAGAAAAUUAAUUUAGAAAAAAUAUAUCUAAGUUUAACCUAGAUCUUGUUGUCCUAUACUUGAAAUCUCAUCAAAUUACCCCCUACAAAAAAUGACAAAGUAUUUCAAGUACUCUUUAACUUAGACAUAGUAAAUGUUAGCAACUUUAAUUUUAAAACUUUGAUUUGAAAGAUAUCCGUCAAUAUAAAUAAUUUCUUGUGCCUUGAAUAAAUGUUGCAAAAACAUUUUCCUUCUAAUUUUACAUGAAGCCAAACCAUGUAUCUUAGGAUAUGUAAAGUUGUUUUGAUCAAAUAACAUAAAAAAAUGUUUAGGGUUUCAUUUUAAUAUUGGUCCCUAAACUUUCAAUAAUUCAAGAGGGUCAUCAAUAUCAUGGUAAACUUUAGCCAUUUGCUUGGUCAAUCUCUUUCUAUAUUAUGGAUAAGAGUAUCGAGCUUCAAAAAAAAAAAAAAAAAAAACCCUAAUAUUAUUACUAAAUCCAAAUUAAGUUUAUACGAGUAUGAGAGAAAAGGGUGAACAAUGGAUCUAUUAAGUUGAGAUAAGACAUCAUCUAGCUUACACUAUGAUUAACACCAUUCAAGUAGUUAUUUACUAAUUGAAUCAAACUAUGAUUUGUAUUGAAAUUUUAGUUGUGCUAUAAAUUAGUUAUAUUACUUCUUUUGCUUUUUACAUAAUUAUAUUCAUCCUUUGUAAACGACAAAGAAAAAGAUAACAAGACAAAGAAAAAUAGGUUUUUUAAACGAUGGAGAUUUAUUGAAUUUUUAAGAAUUCUUCAAAAAGUAAAUAUUAUAGAAUUUGAUGAUUGUUCCACAAAAUAAGAUAAAAUAGGAAGAAAAGAAGAGUAUUUUCUUCACUUAUUUUGGGAAAAUAGGGUGAUUUUCAUUUAGUUUUAAAAAGUCAAACACACAUUUUUCUAUAUGUUUGAAGUCAUUGGCUCUAUUUUCAUUGGGGAAAUUUUGGUAUUGAAAAUGGUGUCACCUUUGGAUUGGAAGGCAUUUAAUCAUGUUAGAAACCAAUCCCAAAGUGUAGAAUUAUGAUUAGCAAUUUAUAAGCAAAGCUUUGUCUCCUUUCACAUCUUAUAUUCAAUUACUUAUAUUUAUGUUUGACCCAAAAACCUACCACAUUGAAAGAUGUGUCAAAUUUUAAUCAUUACUUUUAUGAUAAUAUAUACACAUUAUUGUAUUUAUUGUUGCCUUGUAUUUUAAGUACUGCUCUUGAGAUUCAUGUUUUUCUAUAAAAAUUGUUCAUAAAAUAUUGUUUGUAAUUCCUUAUCAUUCAAGGGAUUGGUCAUAAAGUGAAAGCAUAAUUAUUAUUUGUCUCUUUUUUAAUUAAUGACAUUUUUUAUUGCAAAACCUUUAAGACAUUAGGGUUUGAUUUUUUUUGUUUUUUAUAUACCAAGUUGUUCAUUGUGACCGUUAGUUGGAUGUUAUAGUUAAUUUUGUUAACAAAUUGAUAGAUUUAAGAUCUAAAAAUGUUUGGAAAAAUUUAUUGUUGAGUGUUACUUUACCCCAAGAUUCAAAAGUCAAUGGAUAGACUCAACGUGUGUUUCAAAAAGGAAAAAUAUUAAAGCUUUGAAUUUUGAGUCAAUCAUUAUUUGAGUCGGUGAAUAUAUACCAAUUGAAAAAUAACUAAAUAGUGUUGGUGUGACGUCUUGUAGUAUUAGAUGCUAUAAACUACCCUAACGUUGUUGAAGUUACACAUAAUCACAAGUGAAUAUCAAAUCAAAUGAAGGACAUUAUUAAAUACCUUCAUUUAAUCACUACCUUGAAAGGAGAAGAGUAGGUAAUGUCUAUUUACUUUAUGUAAUUAGAUUAAUUAUAUACAAUUCAGGUGUAUAGUAUUAACUCUGACAUCAUAGUGUAGCAGACUUGACACCACAAUAGUGCAAUGAACCUUCACAUAGUUUAACUUAAAGAACAAGACUAAAUUGAGAGAAGCGGAUACGAGUUAUACCCACAAGAGGCUCACCAAUGACAACAAGCGCGUGAAAAUUCCUUGCACCAAACAAUUAUAUAGUAAAAUAUUUUUUUCGUCAAAAAGAAAAGAGAAAAUUUCUUUUGUGUUUUCUUAAGUGAGACAAGACUAAAGAAUAAUUGAGUAUAAAAAGUUAGAAAGAUCAAUGACUAUGAAUGCAUAAAGUACUAUUAAUGUUUCAAAAUUGAAAAACUAUGGAAAAAUAUAAAGAAGACAUCAACACAAUGUUACUAAAAAAAGGCUAAUUGAAUAAGUGUACUUGCCGUGAUUAUCUUCUUGAUGACUAAGGACUAAAUGCCUCAAUUACUCAUUAAUACUUUAGAUUUUAGUUGUUGUCAUUUUGUUGGAAGCUUCACACCAAGAAAAAACACCAACCUUCAUUCAAAUUUUAUGCUUUAAUUUCAAUAAUAUAUUAGAAUUUUCGUGGUUAGUUGAAUAUUAAAUCAUUUGAUUAAUUUGAUUAUUAGCGUUUCACUUAAUUUGAUUAUUAUCUAAUUUUGUUUGUUUGUUUUCAAAUUUUCCAAACUCUCUAAUGUUAUUUGUAACCACUAGGCUAUAUAUCCUAAUUUACAUUGUUAAUUUUUCAUUGGCAUAUGCUAAUGUAUUUAUAUAUAUGAAAUGUGAAUCACAUUUGAGACUGUCUCAAACGUGGUUAAUGCUUGACUUGACAAUGAAACUCAUUACUGCAAUAGUAAUAGUUUUUAAUUUAAUUAAAUUAGGCAUGUAUUAAUCUAGCUUACUUAAAUAGUUAAAUUAUAUAUUCUUUAAAAUAUAGUAUGCAUUAAUCAUUCUCGAAUAUAGUUUCACUAUAUAUUAUUCUUUAUCGAACGAUAAGCAGUACAAAUCCUCAAGUCACCAAGUUAAUUGAAAUUACAAAAAGAUGUGAAUAUAUGCAUGUCAAGAGCAUAAAAUAGAGUGUGCACACCUUCCUUGCUAUUUUUUAGUGGUAAUUAUAAAUUGAAUUCACACUUGGUGUAGUUUAUGAUCAAAUGUACAUUUAGAAAGUUUUGUUCGUGGUUUCUUUUCCAUGGUCGACGAUUAACUAAGAGAUCAAAAAUUCGAAUUUCAAUUUUUUUUCUAAUUUGAAAAGAAAAGAAAAAACUAAAGUAUAUAGAAGGUCAUAAACAUUAUCUUGAUAAAUAGUAAUUAAAGAUUUAGCAAAGAAAAAUUUGAAUUGAUCUUGUUCGAUGUAUACUUCGACUGUCAAUGAUCAAAUAUUUAUUGAGAAAAAGAAUCUAAAAAUUAAGUUGGAGAUGAUCGAUAUAGUUGGACCACAAAUAAUACAAAAGCAAAAUCGUUUGAAAAAUCAACUUUUUUUAAUAUACUCAAAUUUUCAAAGCAUAGAGGUGGAUUGCAUCAAUUUAUCCAAAUGACAUUAAAUUAUUUUAGUCUUAUACUUCUAAAAUUUAAAGAUGAUCACCAUGACAUCUACAUUGUAUCUCUACAACAUUUCAAAGAUACUCAAACUGAGUUUUCUUUUUCCAUUGUACUUUCAUUGUCUUUGAAGAAAAAUAAGCAAAGUACAAUGCAACCCUUCUUUGUUAAACUUUAUUGUCAAUUAGUUUCUUUGGAAACCAACAAAAUAAGACAAAUUUUUUAUUUUUUCCUUUUCUACUCUAAAGAAGUAAAGAUGUGAAACUAAUAAAAGGAGUGGUUGAAUACUAUAACAAAGUUAGAAGAAUAUAUAAAGAGGAAUUUUGAGUGGUGGAAAAUAUAUGAUCAAAAGUUGAGAAUAAAUGAAGUAUGAAAAUUUUCUCUUUUUGCAUGAAAUUCCAAGUUUUAGUAAAAUUGGCCAUUUUUGUUUUCUUUGGUAAAGCUUCUUUGUUAGGUCUUCAUCCCUUUCAUACUAAAGGUUUAAUGUAAUUUAAUUGUUCAAUAUCAAUUUUAGAUUUUUUUUUCUCUCUUUCGAUUGGAUUACAAAUUAAGCUCUUGGACUUAGAUGUUUGUGUCUAUUUCAUUUUUAUAAACUGUCGAAAUUCCUAAAAUUUCAAACUUUAUAACGUUCAUGAUCAACAAGACACAAAUUGAAGAGUUUCAUUAGAUACAACAUUUAUAUUUUAUAUCUAAUGGAUCAAUUGGAUUUUGAUUUUUUUUAAGUUUGAGAACCAACCAGACACAAAUCUCAAAAUUUAAAGACUAAAAAUUUUAAUUUGAUCAUUUUUUAUAGUUUACUAAGCGUACCACAAGUUUGAAAUAUCAACCAAGGGUCAAACAAUAUAAUGCUUGGGCUCGAUAAGUCAUGGCUCGAAGCACCUAUGAGUGAGGCUGACCUCAACUUCGACUUCAACUAGGGAUGAGGUCAAAGGCCGCGCUAUUUGGCUUAGGGGUACGGUGUUCAAUUUGCACACAUCCACGACUCAAUACAUAGAAUGAUAGGAAAAAUAGAUAACGACUAAAAGAGCUCUUAUCCGUAUAGAGAUGGAAGAAAUCCUAAGUCAUUAAGCCUAUAAAUAUGUACCUCAUUUUAAGUCUAAAAAAAGAAUUCUAACUCUAGAUUCCAAAACUCUUACUACAUCUUAAUCUCACUACCAUGGACAUUACCAAACUAGGGCUUUUUUUUCUUUCAAAUUCCAUCUUUCUUACUCAAUAAAUUUACCAUUGAGCAUGUACAUAAAAUAAUAUAAUCCACGUCCUAAUUGUUACCUAUAUCAAUGACACAAUAUUAUGUAAAUAAAAAACUCACAACUUUCAAAUUUUGAAUCAAAAUAUCUUUUUAAUAUAGUAGAUACAUACAAUAUUUUGUGGAGAAUAUAAAUAUAUUAUUCCAAAAGUGAAAUUUUGGUUGAGUUGUACUUCUAAUUUGUUGUUUCCAACCCUUCCUAGUAUUUAAUGAACAUUGUCUAUAGAAUAUUCGUCUUCAUAUAUUAUCAAACAAGUUUGAUAAUUUCCAUCAUGAUUUGUAAAGUUAAUAUAUGAUAAUAUAAUUAAGGUCAAGAUUGAUGAUUACAUAUAUCUAUUUAUGUAUCCAACCAUCAUUUUAGAACUAUAUACUAAAAUUUAAAAUAGAAGGAAAUAAUAAAAACCUAGUAGCUAUAUCUACAUGCCGUUUCAUCCAAGCCAUAGUCUCUUAACUAAAUAAAUACAUAUCAAAUUUUCUAAAAAUCUCAUUUUUAUUUAAAUUGUUUUUUUUUAAUGUUGUCUUUUUUUAUGUCAUGAAAAUUAAAAUGAAAUAAAAGUUAAAAUUUACGAUAUAAAGGUUAAUCAUUGCCAUUUCAUAUAUCUCUUUGUAAUUUAGGAAAUUUUCCCUUGUUUUGAAUCAAGAAAAAGAAUAAUUGUACGGUAUGUACUUAAAAGUUGGUAAUUAAACUAUAGUAGGAAGAUUUUUUUAAAAGUAUAAUUGGAGAUAGAGAGAAUUUGAAUCACACAUCAUUGUUAGUAAUAUAUUUAUAUGACAAUUGAAUUAUCUUCGAUUUGAUCAUUUUUAUUUUUAUUUUUGAAAAAGAACAUAUGAUGUUUAAGGAUGUUAUCUUGUUUUUUUAUGUUAGAUAUUCUUUUGAACGUUCUCUAAUUUAAAUUUUGAAGUUCCCAUUUAAACUAUAUAAAUUAGAAAAUUAUACUAAAUUUGAGCCUCUCCUUUAUUUGAUGCAAAUCAAUGCCUAAAAUUAAAAAAUAUGUAUACUUAUUCUUUUUAAAAAAAGUUGUUUUCAAUUUUUAGGUCCAUUCAUGAAUUUAAGAUAGUAACAAAAUUACUUGAAUUAUUUCAAAAAAAGAAAAACCUCAAAUUACUAUACUAUUUAAGAUGUUGGUACCACUCUAUAACAUCUUAAAUAGUAUAAUAGUUUAAGGUUUUCUUUGAAAUAGUUGAAGCAAUUUUGUUAGUAUCGUGGUUAUAAAAUAAUUAAGAAAAAUGAAAACAUAAUUAACUCCCUUCUAGAUAUUUUGCUAUAAUUUUUUCAUUGUUCUUGGAUUACUUGACUUAAGCCCUUGAUUAAGAGAAAAAAAUUAGUAACGAUGAGACAUUAAUUAAAUUGAAUAAAAACAACUGAAAGGGAGAAACCCAUUUGAAAAAUUAAAAUUUGCAUUAAAUUAGAUUAGAAAAAUGGAGCAAAGCUAUAUGUCUAGAAAGAAAAAGUGGGUGAAAGGAAAAAUGCUACAUUUAAUAUAGAUAUAUAUAUAUAUGUUCUUACUAUUCCAAAGAAUUGAAAAGAAUAUAUAAAUAUAUUGGAUAAAGUGUUAACUCAUGGAAUUGGAUUCACCACCUUUUUGACCUUUUGUGUAUAUAUGCUUUGCCUUUCAAACUUUUUACAUUUCGAACUUCAAAAUUGGCAUAUAAUUCAAUUUGCAACAACUAAUUUUGAUUUUUUUUCCUUUAGUUCAACAAUUUUGGAAGUGUAAAUCUAACAAUUGGUUUUUUUUUUCUUUUUAAUAAUAAUAAAUGUAAGCACUUUGUUUAAAAAAUGUACAAAGUUGAGAGAUUUUGUAUGAUUGAAUUAUGUUAUUUUUUUCCCCCAAAAUAAAUGGAGAUAAAUUUGACCAUUAAUAGAAGCCUAGAAUGUUGAGGGGACUCUUCCAAAGAAGGCCAACAAAUGUCAACAAUUUAAUUUUCCAACCACCUAUUAAAUUAAAAGAUAAAUUGAAGAUGGAAAAAAAAAUCAAAUGUUGAUAUUACUUGUUGGAAAAAUCAAACAACCUCUCUUAAAGUACAAUUAAUGAAAACCAUAGACCCUAAAUACACAUGUAAUUCUUUAGCUUAAUUUUAAAAAUUGUAAUCCUUAUAAAAUACAUCCAAAUUAAACUUUUGUCUCUUUUGGAUUUCAUAGUUAAUGGAUAGAACUAAACCAUAAUUUAUUGUUCAAAAUAUACCAAUUCAUUUUGAAAAUACAAGUGGGAUAUAGAAGAAGAAAAAGAAAACAAUCAUGUAAGUGUGUUUAAUGAAAUUAUUCUUGGAGGAAUAAUUGUGAGAAACAAAGUUGUUUUGGAGUUUAUGUUUGAAUUUUAUAGUGAAGUGAGAAGACAAAAUGGACAAUAUAUUUGCAGUCUUGUUGUCCCAUUGAUCCAAUUGGGGCAAUUUUUUCUUUGCAUUUUUAACCAAUUAUUGUGAAGAGCUUUGAAUAUUCCACAAAGUUGACCAACUCCAUACAAAUUCCAAAAGGACUAUCCGUACUAACACAUCAAAAUUAAAUGGAUCAAUUUGCAAAAUAAGAAAAGUUUUUUUUUUUCUUUUUUCUUUGGGGUAUUGAAUAGAAGAAGUUUUAUGAAAAGCUUAAAAGCCGGCCUAAUUUCUUCCACACACACAUAUAUAUAUAAGUCUUUGGUUUCUUUUCUUUAAGAUUGCUAAGAACAUAAGUUUCCUCUCUUUUGACUAAAGACUAGCUUUAUGACUUAAUGCAGGCCAAUCUCAUGGUUACAAUGUAUACUUUUUCUUUUCUAGAUUGAUAAAUAUAUAAAUCAACAAUAAUUGACGUGUAUUCAUUCUCUUUAAACUUUUAUAUUCAAAUUAACCCGUCAAUAUUGUCGUUGUUGUAGUAAAAAAUUAAGAUGUAGGUAGAUUAUUGAAAUUAUUUUUGUGAAAGUGAUUUUAAUUCAAAUACUUGUGUGUUGGGUUAUAUCUUCUUAAAUAUGAAUUUAAUAGUAAGUUUGUUUUUGUUAUACGAAAUGGUUUUAGUAAUGUCAAAUUUCCAUAAAGUGAAUGAAUGGGAGUUUAAAAUUUUAGAGCAAUUUUAUAAUUUCAUCACUUUUUAGGUAUUUCUUCACAUGCAUUUUAGAAUUUCUUAAUGUGAAGAGGAUUUUUUUUUCUCAUUAAUUUUUUAUAAUUAACUUGAAAUUAAUUAUUGAAAAUUGUUUAUUUCAAUAUUAAUAAUUAUUUUUAAACUAAUUAAUACAUUUUUCUUCCUUAUCACUUUUAGAGUUAAUCCCUUUAACCUAAGUACUUUUGAAUUUAAUAUAUUUGGAAUCCCCUCUUUUAUACAAAAAGAAAAACAAUCACUUAAUAAUUUCUUUUUGUAAAUAACAAAACUGCUAACAUUGAUUAAAGUUUAUUAACGUCGUUUGUUAGUGUAUUAUUUAUAUAAUUUAAAAUUUUGUUAUGUUUUAUAAAUAUUUUAAUUUUAUGAUUGAAUACAAUAAUAAACGUUAAGUCUAAUUUUGGUACGAUAUGACAAUAAUUGUUUGGGAUUUGGACUUUUUUUUUAAUUUUCAAAAAAAUAGAUAAAUAAACCAAAUUAUUGUAAAAAUUAUUUAUAAACAUUAUAAUAUACUAUAAAAUAGUAAUAAAUUAUAGGUAAAGUAGUUGUGAUAAAAGCACGUAAUUUAAAAGAAAAAGAAAUAAAAAAAAAAGAGGAAAGAGAGAAGAAACGUUAUUUAAGUAAUUCAUCAAUCAUUUUCAUAUUAAGAAAAGAGAAAGAACAAAAAGUAGUACAUAUUAAGUACAUAAACAGAACUCAGUUUGUAAAGUAAUUUUUUUAUUUAUACACUUUUAGAUUAGAAGCAUAUUUAUUUGAUAAAAUAUGACAUUAAAAAAAAUAGUUGAAUAUUGACAAAUUAAGUUGGUUUUUAAAAAUUAGUGUACAUUUUGUACACAACUUACCUACCACUUUUUAUUCCCCCUUUUCUCAUCAUACCUAACCCCUUUUGUCUUCACACAUUUUCUUUUUUAAUCUUUUCUCAAUUGCAAUAGUUUUUUUUUCUUCCCUUUUUUCUUUUUAUCUUCAUACUUUGAAGGUGGUUUCUGAGGAGAUUUAUGAAUUUUAUAAAUGUUGAAUAAGUGGAUAAAUUUGAAAAGGGAUGGAUUUAUUGGAGAUUUUUUUAAUUGAUUGGAGGGGUAAAUGUAAGCAUUUAGAAUGUUGAAAGAAGUGAUUUUGUGUGUGUGUGUGUGUGUGUAGCUUUUUGAGAUCUCAACCUCUUCCUAAUUGUCGUUAAACAUCGUUUUUGGUUUCUUUAGACUUUUCAUGGGAAUAUGCUGACCAAUUUCACAUGCAAACUUUUAUAUUUUAUAUUAUUAUGCCUUGGAUUUUUAUGUUCUUAAAACAAAGUUUUAUCUUUUUAAUCUUUCAACUCUAUACAAUUUGUUUGUUGGGUAUCUCACUAUUUAAACUGAUGUUUUAAUUAGUUUUUGAAGUAAUUAUGGAUGGAUUUGUUAGGAGGUUUUAAGAAUAUACUUAAAAACUCACCACUAUUUAAUUUUAUCUAUUCGGUCUUUUAUUUUAAUUAUACUUCGUUUUUAAAACCCACUUAUUAGAUCCAUAUAUAUUAUUAUUGAAAUUAGGUUAUAAUUUUUAUGGAGACCAUUCUUUUUUUUUUUUUUUCCAAUAGACGGGUGGUUUUUUUAUGAAAAGAAAUCAUCAAAUUUUUCAAUGACCUAAUUAUCAAUGGUUAGAAUCUAAAUUUAAUUUGUGUUCCUAACAAAGACUAACAAAACAUUGUUUGUGAAAAACCACAACUUUAUUUAAGGAAAAUUGAAAAAGAGAGAGAGAGAGUAUUUAUCAAAUGACUCUAAAGGUAAAGCCUUAUUUAUUUAUAUAUAUAUAUUUUAUAAUAAUACAAAGAACUCCAAUUCAAAAAUCCCAAUAACCUUGUUUGAUUAGGAAAUGUCACAAAUUCAAAUCUCACUAUAGUUUAAUGAGAAUUGAUCGAUGAUAGUUGGUUUUCCAACCAAAUCACCAUCGGAUCAACCAUGAUUGAUUUAGUAAAUAUUUAAACGGACUUGACCACGAAGAAGUACAAACAAGUCGUUAGUCGGUUGAUCGACCGAUUUAGGUCAAAAAAUACAAACUAGCCUUUGAUUUUUUUAAAAAAAGUUGUUGGUUUAGAUUUUUUUCCGAAUCGACACUAAUUGAACCCUUCUUUAAUCUUCGACCAACCAUGUUGGAUUAAGUUCAUCGACUAUUAUGAUCACCCAUCACCCCUACUCUCAAACUAUUUAUUCUUGAAAUUCUCUUAAAGAAACCAUUUAUUCUUAAAACACAAUAAAUGUUGUUAUCAUGAUGAAUGAUUGGGGGAAACAUCCUUAGAAAUAACAAUAAGAAACAAAAUAAAACAUCCAUCCUAUCAAGCAUGAAAAUUAAAGCACAAAUUUGUCUCAAAAAGAUUAAUUAAUAAAGGAGGAAAAAGAGAAAGCACUUGAUAGAAAAUUGUCAUUAACCUAAUUAAUUUAUUACCCUUUUCUCAAUGACACAACACAACUUUAGACUCUUUGCAAUCUCAUUUACCAACAUUACAUAAUGGAAUUUUACAUCAAUACCAACUUCCAUAAUUAUAAGAUUUUUCUUGAUUUGUAUAUAAAUUAAUCCCCACAUAAAUUAUUUAUAUCUUUCAAAAAAAAAAAAUUAUCUCAUUCUUAAAUUAACUAAUUUAACUAUGCUUUACAAUAAUUUAUAUUUUUGUUCUUUUAACCUUUACCAUUGUUUUAUUAAUUUUAAUCCAUAAAUCCUUUCUAUUUUAGUUGAUUACAUAAUUUGAUACAAAAAUACCAUCUUAGUCAAUGAGGUAGUGAUAGUAAACGAGAAAUAAUGUCUUAGUAAGUUUUCUAAGCUAUAUUUAAAUUAACCACUUUGGAAAAGACUCAAUAUGUUUGAGUAGCAAUGCAUUGCAAUUCUAUUAAUGCUUUUUUUUUUCUUAUACAAUAUCAUCAUUCUUUUCUAAGGAGAAAGAAAAAACAAUGUCCCUUUUAAGGUGAAAAGAAAAUCUCAUUGAUUAAAUAUAGAAUUACUCCCAAGCUAUCAUCAUGCAGAAUCAAGGGUAAAUCAAGUCUAAAGUGGCAUUUUUUUUAAUGUCACACUCAAAUUAAAGGAAAUUAAAGCAAUAAUUAUAAGGUACAUAAAAAAUCUUUCUUUGUUUAUACAAUAAUGAAUCAACAUUGUCAAAUAAGGAAAAACAAAAUAUAAAAAUAUAUAUAUAGAGAGAGAAUUGACUGCAUAAAUGUGUAACAAGCAAAGAAUGUGCUUGAUUGAAUCAUUAUCAAUUAAUAAAUUCAAACCUAUUAUAGGAAAAGUAUAUCUUUUCGAGAGAAGAAAAAAAACCUCAAUUUGAUCAAUUUCAUUUAAAUUCAGUAAAAAAAUAGAAAAAUGAAUAUCUAAUUUAUGUAUAUAUAAAUAAUAAACUUCCCAAAAAAUUAUUAUUAUUAUUAUUAGCAACAUUAAUUGCAUAUGCAUAAGUUUUGGCUUAGAUUGUUGGAGGUCACUAUUGAUUUUAACUAAGGGAAGAAAGAAAAACUUUAUUAUUAUAUUUACUAAAAUCAUUAGUAAUUUCUUUUAUUUCCAUUAGUUUCUAUUUAAUAUUUUGUUGGGGCUAAUUUAGGAAUUGUGUUUAAAUUUUUUAAUUUCGUAGCUUUUUGAAUUUACAAAAAAAAAAAAAAAAGUAUUUUCAAUGUUUUCUCUCUUCAUGAACUGUCCAUUACCAUAAAAAAGUUGGGUUAUUCUUUCCUUUGAAAUUAUAAAUUUAUAUAAAAAUAGAUUCAAAAUUUGUUUAUUUGUUGACAAUUCUUUAAAAAAGAAAUAAUGACAACAUGUUCCCAAACAUGGCCUUUUAAAUCAAGUUUAAUGCAUAAUUUGUACUAGAAAACAUGAUUAUAAAAUUCUCAAUAUUAAUAUGCAUCUCUAACCCUUUUGUUUAUUUUUUAUUUUUGGUGCUAAAGCCUUUCAUCAAAACAUUAAAUAAAAGUAUAACCUAAAGUUUAAAGACAACUGCUUUUUCAAACACGUCUUCAAAAAUACAAUAUUUGAAUAAAUUUUAUAAUUUAGCAAAGUAAUUUUGACACUUUUGAUACCAUUAAUAUAUAUAGAGAUUUGUUAGUUCAUGAACUAUCAUUUGUGUAUAUUUAAUCGUCAAACCUUAAAGAAUGUCCAAUGAGUUUUAAUUGGCUUUUAAUUUUGCAUCAAAAUAGAUAUCUAACGCUUCAAUUUACACAUAUAUUUAUAUAUAGAAAAUAAUUAAAUUUAAUUCUUUUAGUAUGUUAAAAUAUACUAUUAGACAUAAACUAAACGGUUCCGAUAAUUUAUUGUAAGAAAUUCUUAAACAAAAAUUUUCAAUUUCAAUGAUAUAUAAUUAGGUAAAAGUUUGAAAGACUUUCGUGAAAGUUUAAAAAUUAAAUCGACGCUUAUAAGUUAACACUACCAAAUGUAUAAUUGGACAACCAAUGUAUUGAUUUUGAUUUUCUUCUUUUGUCAUUUGGAUGAAAUUUUGAGUGUGGUUUUUGGAUUAGAAAGAUGAAAUGCAAAAUAAAAUAAAGUUGAAUUGCUUUCUUGAAUUAGAUUAUAGUAAAAUUGUAGGGAAGAAUAUGAGUUGAAAGUACAAAAACUACGAACGAUAUUUAUGAGUAAUUAUGAUUCUAAAGAUUAAAACUGCUAAAAAUAUUUAUAAAUAUAAAAAAGAUUAGGUUCUAUUCAUUAUAAUUAUCGAUAGACUUGAAAUUUUUCUAUAUAUAUUUUUACGUAUUUGGAUCUAUUUUGUUAUGUUUGAGAAAUGUUAUGGUUUUUUUUUUUUUUUUGCAAAAACAUUAAUAUUUAUUAUGUGCAAGUUUUUAUAAAAUUCAUAUUUAACUCUAACUUCUUUUGAUAAAAUUUAUAUUGGAAGUUAGAUUUUAUUGUAAUUGAUAGUACAAUAAAAACUUUACUAAAGAAAAAAAAAUUACAUUAUAAGGUUGAGUAUAUAACUUUAUUUUAAAAAACAAAAAAAAAUCGCUACUCUCAAUCUAUAAUAACUCUAAUCAAGUGUAUUUAAAGAAAAUUAGAAAAUUGUCAAAAGUAAUAAAAUCGAUGAAAUAUUUACACUUCAUAUAAAAAAAACAGACGUAUUACAUUUAAUCACUUUUUAACUAAAGAAAAAUUAAGAAUAAUAAUUUCAAAUGACAAGUUGAAGAUAUAUUAAACAAAGUAAAAUGUACAAGUAAUAGAUAGUAUAGACCUCUACAAGUGUCUGUCGUGAAAUUUUGCAAUAUAUAUUUACUCAUUUUGUUAUAUUUGAAAAUAUAAAAAUAAAAGUAACUGAUAAUAUAUUUUUUUUAAAGGUUUCUCUCACUUUUUUUCUUUAAAUAAUAAUAAUAAAAAAAAAAACCUUUACUGAGAAGGCUUUUACUAAAGAGAUUCUACAUUUCAUUUCCCAACCUAAGACCAAUUUCUUUUAAAAAUUAUUCUUCAAAAAGACCUUUAUGAAACCACUUUUUAUAAUAAACAUAAUAAAUAAAAAUAAAAAUAUCAUUAAAUUUACUAACAUAUGAUAUUACAAAUACGUUUAUUAAGUGAAAAAUGAAUACAACUAAUUCAAAAACUGUGAGAUGUUUUGUCUUCAUUAAAUAGACAUUUGUCUUGAUAAUAUAAACGUUAAUUAAUCGAGCAUCUAACUUAUACUCUAAUUUAAAUAAAGAUAAAGUUGGACAAAAUAUAAUUUAGUAAAUAAGAUAUCAAUUAUGAUUUGAAAAAAGAGAAUUAUGGAAAAGGAAUAAAAGUAGAUGACACGUGUACAAUUACAACCCGUCCCAUAUGAACAAAUAUAAAUGAUUAACUGAAAAAUACUAAAAACGAAAAAAAGAAAAAAGAAAAAAGUUUAAUAUUUUCAUUAUUUAAAAUAAGUUUAUAGAAAAACUAAAAGACAAAUUAAAGAAAGAAAAACUUAAUUAAGGACCUCAAUUUCCCAUAGGCCGUAAAGAGUUGACUACCUUUUAAAGCAAUCCAACGGUCAUAUUGGAUUUACCUCUUUCUUUCUUUCUCCAUCUCUUAUUUUAUUUCAUUUUUCUUUCAUUAAUAUUCCCAAUUUCCCAUAGUGCUCUCCCUCUUUUUAUUCUUAUUUUUAAAAAUAAAUUUCCACAUUUUCUUAAUUUUUUUUAAAAUUUAGAAACACCAUUUGUAGAAACAUUACAAGUGAGAAGACUUUGGGGGUACUAUUAUUGGGGUUCCCACAAUCCACUUAAUUAAUCAAAUUUCAAUAUAAAUCAAAUAAAAAAAUUAUUCAUAAAGUCAAAUCCCCUAUUAUCUUUUUAUUUUCUUUUGCUAUUAAACAAACAUUUAUGUUCUAUUAUUAUUGCUCAAUUUUUAUUUAUUCUCUCUCUCUCUCUCUUUGUAGCUAAAACAUUUUUUUAACCCCAAAUAAUUUGAUCCUCCAUGUGCUAUAAUCUUGUUAAUUGGGAUCAUUUUUUUAAAAUUUUAGAUUCCAUUUAUUGCUUAAUUAUCUCUUACUUUAUCCUCUCUUAUUUUCUAUAUUCAUAUAUUUGUACCUUAUCCAUCCUUACCUUACUGUGCCACCUUCAUUUUUGUUUUAAAUUGAGUUCGUCUUUUACCAAGUCCAGGGCCAAACAAACGGCCUAAAUAAAAAACUUAAAAAUAGCAAAAUUUCAUAUUUUAUCAAUGUCACUUCCAAAUAGGAGUACAAAUUUUACAUCGGUGUGCUAUAUUUUUUGUAUUUAAAAUUUUUACAAAAUGACAAUUUAAGUUAAAAAAAACCUUUAAAUUUUAAUAUUUCUUUUAACAUAAUUCUCUUUUGGUAUUGGUUUUAUCUAAAUAUAUAUUCAAGUUUACUAAGAGGUACACGUCAUAUUUUACGAUUCCGUUUUCCUAUUUUAGAUAUAUAAGACUAUUUUAAACGAAAGUUAACAUCGGAAUGAAUCUUGAUAUGGCACGGACCGUAUUAUAUAUAUUAUGAAAUAAAAAUUUACAGCUACACUUUGUGGUAACCAAUGUUGGUUCAAAUAGACAAAGGUACAAAUCCUAAUAAUAAUUUUGUUGUUACUUAUAGAGAGAGAUAAUAAGAUUUUUUUGUCUUGCUUAUUGGAAAAAAAAAAGUACAAAACCAAAAAUGCAAAUGCAUGGGUUAUAUCAAUCAUAAAAAUUUAAACAAACAAAAAAAAAAGGUUUAGACAGAUCAUUCAUUGGUUAUAACAUAGUGAUCAUUGGUUAUAUCACAAUAAUGAUUUCAACUAAACAUACAAUACAUACAAAAAAUAAAAUAAAGCAAAAUAAACGAAAGAGAAAUGAAUCCAUCUCUAUGAUGAUAAAAACUCAUCACUUGAUGACUGCCACGUGGAUUCUCUGAGACCUUUUCUUUAGUGGAACAUUAAAUCCAACGGCAACUAAGAAAUCACCGCCCCCCUCCAAAUUAAAUUAACUAUGGGAUGAAAAUAAUUGUUAGUCCCAUUUUAAAUUUCAAAAUUAAUCUGAUUAAGUAGUAAUUAUACUUCAUACCUAAGUGAAAGUAGAGUUUUUGUGAAAAUGAACAAUAGGUGAGUACCAUCCGAUAAAUACUAAAUUUAAGAUUUGUUAAAAGUAUAAGAACUAAAAUUAAAUGGUCGAUUUAAAUCCUUUGGUAUACAAGAGAGAAAUCUAUAAUCUUGAUUAUACCUAUAUAUAAAUACUAAGUUUCUAAGCAAAUGAUCAUUAUGGACCGAACUCAUUUUCUAUAAAUCUAUUAUCUAUUCCAUAAUAGUUGAAUAAUUUUCUAUGGACCACUUCAUCGAACGACAAAAAUUGUAUGUCACAACGUUUUAAAAUUUAAUUUCCAUAGUUGAAUAUGUUGUGGGUGAAUUUUAGUUCGACAAGACAAGACUUUGCUUGAAAUUGCUUUAAUUUUCAAAACAAUUGUUGGUAAUUGUAUUUUUAGAAAAAUGAGCUGAUUCAUGUUUUGUAAAAUUAAAUUAAAAAAAAGAAGGAGCAAAUAACAAAAGUUUGACAAUAUGGCUAUUACUUAGUGAUUAUAGACAAUAUAUUAUUAUAUAUUAUUUGGUUGAGUUAAUUAAUUAUAAUUUUUAAAAUCAAUUUACAAAUGAUAUAAUUUGACUUCUUUAGAAAAAAAACAAUAAUUGUUAUAUAAAAUUGAAAUCAACAAAUGUGAUUGGAACUGAUUGAUUUUAUGAAUAAUUUGAAAGAAUUAGUUGACAUAUAUAUGGUGGAGAUUUUUUUGGAGGUGAUUUUAGAAAAUUAAAAUAAGAUAAGAUAAAGAUAGAGUGGUAAAAUAAAUGAGUUUAUAAGAUAAAAAGAUGAUUAAGCAUAGGUAAAUAAGAAAUUUAGAGUUAUAUAGACUAUUAUUAUGUAGUUGAAGAAGAGGUGAGAGGUCAUUGGUAAAUCUAGAGAGAGGAGAGAGAGAGGGUGGAGCCCACUUGGACUGCGUGGUAGUCACAAUAAGAGUGGGGGGGUAAGCCUUAGGAGUUUUAUAUAAAAAGCCAAUUGCAUUUCGACGCCAAUUCCUCACUCCUCUCUUUCUCUCUCACACACACACACACCCAAACUCUCUCUUUUCUCCCCUUCCAUUUUUCCUUUCUCCCCAAACACCUCUUAUUUUCCCGGGAAUCUUAUUAUUUUCUCGGGAAAAUCACCCCUCCUUCUUUCAAUGCUUCUUCUUCUUCCUUAAAACACCAAACCCACAAAAAC